AGGUGACAUCAUAGCAUUAAUGCACCAGAUCCCAUUAGAACUCCACAAUUAAGCGCGCUUGGGCUAGAGUAGUACUGGGAUGGUUGAUCGCCUGGGAAGUUAUAGUGUUUUACAUG
rnacentral:rRNA from 1 species